AACGAACGCUGGCGGCAUGCCAAACACAUGCAAGUCGAACGAGAUCUUCGGGUCUAGUGGCGCACGGGUGCGUAACGCGUGGGAAUCUGCCCUUUGGUUCGGAAUAACAGUUGGAAACGACUGCUAAUACCGGAUGAUGACGAAAGUCCAAAGAUUUAUCGCCAGAGGAUGAGCCCGCGUAGGAUUAGCUGGUUGGUGUGGUAAAGGCGCACCAAGGCGACGAUCCUUAGCUGGUCUGAGAGGAUGAUCAGCCACACUGGGACUGAGACACGGCCCAGACUCCUACGGGAGGCAGCAGUGGGGAGUAUUGGACAAUGGGCGAAAGACUGAUCCAGCAAUGCCGCGUGAGUGAUGAAGGCCUUAGGGUUGUAAAGCUCUUUUACCCGGGAUGAUAAUGACAGUACCGGGAGAAUAAGCUCCGGCUAACUCCGUGCCAGCCGCCGCGGUAA
rnacentral:rRNA from 1 species